rnacentral:rRNA from 1 species
AACGAACGCUGGCGGCAGGCUUAACACAUGCAAGUCGAGCGAAGACUUCGGUCUUAGCGGCGGACGGGUGAGUAACGCGUGGGAACAUACCCUUUGCUACGGAACAGUCCCGGGAAACUGGGUUUAAUACCGUAUACGCCCUUACGGGGAAACAUUUAUCGCCAAAAGAUCGGCCCGCGUCUGAUUAGCUAGUUGGUGGGGUAAUGGCCCACCAAGGCGACGAUCAGUAGCUGGUCUGAGAGGAUGAUCAGCCACACUGGGACUGAGACACGGCCCAGACUCCUACGGGAGGCAGCAGUGGGGAAUAUUGGACAAUGGGGGCAACCCUGAUCCAGCCAUGCCGCGUGAGUGAUGAAGGCCUUAGGGUUGUAAAGCUCUUUCGUUGGGGAAGAUAAUGACGGUACCCAAAGAAGAAGCCCCGGCUAACUUCGUGCCAGCAGCCGCAGUAAAAC